ensembl:lncRNA
GGCAGGUGCCCGGGGACUUUCCCGGGCGAGGAGGAACCACCUGGAGGAGCGUCUGAGGGCUGCCCGAGAGUCCCAGAGCGCAGAAAGGGCCCCUCAGGACAGGUCGGAGAGUGGGUGAAACGGGUGGUAGAGCUUACAGAUGGUAAAAAUGGCAGUUUACUGCAUGCCUGCGAACAUCACAUCACCAGCCCGUGUCUGCCCAGGAAGGCUCCUCUCUUUGCAGCUCCUGCCCGAGCUGUGCUCACUGGUGGUCACGGUGAUCUGCCUGUCCAGGGGAGGCUCCCAAUGGGAGCACACCAAGCCUUAUGUCCUCAACUACUUUGAAAACCCAGCAACACUGUCUCCUGUGGUUGUGGAAACUGCCUUCAGAAUGUCACAUCCCGACUCUCAACACCUGGGUCCUGAUAACUUUCGGCUCUGCCAGCGGCCCUGCUACCUGGACUGCAGAGAAACAUGAGCCCCCAGCCCAGGUUCCUGGCACACUGCAGGUGCUCCAAGAGCUUUGUGAAGGAGGAAGACGGACAAGGGACAAGCUGCCGACGAGUGAUCUCCCGAAGAUGGCUGCACCAUCUCCUGGGUGCCAGGACAGGAGAAGGCACACAUGUCAUCAUCUGGCUCCAGGAGGAAGGCCGCGGUCUGUCAGGACAGGGGUGCUGGGCUGGACAGGGGUGCUCGGCCAGAGUGGCCAUGCAGCCCGCUCCCUUCCAGCCACUUCCAGACCCACCAUCCGAUACAGGCGCCGAGGGAGCACACAGUUGUGGAAACAGAGUCUGCAAGGGCCCCUGCAGAGCACCUUCGUGUGUUCCCGUCACCCCUCAGAACAACUUCCGAGGGGGCUCUGUGAUGAUGGACAAGCCAGGACAGGGAAGCAGAGGUGCAGAGCAAGUCUACGCAGGCGGACGAGGGGCGGAGCGGGGAUUUGCCCGCAGGCAGUCUGACUUGGCCAUUUGCGGAUCUGGAUCUCUGCUCUGCCAAAUACACGCUGUCUACACUGGGUAAUUACUUGACCUCUCUAGGGCACACGGCUCUGUGAUAUCAAUGAUUGCAUGUUUACGGCACUUAGCACCUCAGAUGGCACAGAAACGCCGGGCACUGGCCAUCACUCUUCUGCCAGUUGGAAAUGAACUUCAGACGGUAGCUUCCGCUCGCGGACAGUGGCCACCUGCUCUCGUUCUCUGCUUCUUCCUCUGCCAUUCUCUGCUUCUUCCUCUGCCGCGGACCUGGGUACCCGCCCCUCCCGCUGCAGGGAACCCUGGCCUCUCCUGCAGGUGUACCCACCCCUGCACUCUCACACCAGGCAGGAGUGCGGCCGGCAAGGCUGGCCACUCCAUCCAGCUUGCUCACGGGCUCCAGCCCUGGCCCUAGAGACUUCCUGAGCAGAUCCACUCGAGUGCACACACCCCAGCCUGGCAGCCGGCUGCCACCCGGCAGGAUCCCCAGGCCUCAGAGGUGGGGAUAGGACCAGGUGACAAGGGGCAGGCUGGGACACUACUGGCAGCCGGGCUGGAGGGGCUGGAGGCUCCACCUCCCCCCUCCCGCCCCCUCCCCCUUCCCUUCCCCCUCAGCAGAUCACAG